CAGAUGCAUGGAAACGCCGUCAACCCUCCCGCAGUAGCAGUACCAAUUUAUCUAUUUGCACUGGUAUGCUUUUGAACUGCUAGCUUGGCAGAAGAGUGGCGUAGUAAACCUUGCCACAUCACUUAAAUCAUGCAAUUUGCUUUUGUAGGUCAACAUCUUCAUUGCAGCAUCCUUUUCCCCAGGAAUUUCUUCAUGCAGCUAACUACUUGAGCCUAUAAGGUGGAUCAAUAUGUGGUAUUUAUUUUCUAGUCAACAAGAUAAGCAGAGCAAUCCUAACCCCUGAUCUGUAGUAGCAUAAGGGGUUAGAAAGUGGCAGUAGUACAGUAUCUCACUGCCUAAUUCUGUUGCGCUCAUCUGGGCUUUGAGGCUACUACUGCACCUAUCAAAGACACAGGUAGAAGCUACUAAAUGGUAUUCCCACCAGUGGAAAGCCCUGGAAUGGGGCAUUUUGGGUAUGGAAUUGGACCAUUCCAGGAUCCAUUGCAUGGUAAUCUGAUUCAGGUAUGGCUAUCGGAACUGCUCUGCUGAAGCUGGCACAGAGGAGCCCACAGCACAAGCAGCAGACCUACAGGUGCUGCUGUGGUUCUGGCUCUGUUUAGUCUCGCUGCUCUUUUAGCUGAGAGAAAGGAUUGCUUACUUAUGUUAGGGAAAAAGCAAGAAAAAUGAAAGUAUUCUAUUUAACAAUUACAUAGGCACUACAUACGUACACUCAAGGAGUUUCGAUUCAAUAGGAACAUGAUUAGAAAAACAAGUUUUUGGUGCAAAUAUAUAAUAAACCCACAAGUUAAAAUUUAUUUUCCUCACCUAAAAAACAAGCAACCCAGAAUUAAGAUAUACACAAGAUACCCAAGUUUUAUCCCUAUUAAAACUUUUGAAGAUUUAUACAAUCUUUACAGAAACAUACAGUGUAUCAAAAUCUGCAUAAAUCAAAUUUAUAAAAUGUGUAGAAAUGCAUAGUGAUCAACUUACAAAGCAAGGAUAUGGAA